UACGUAGGGUGCAAGCGUUGUCCGGAAUUAUUGGGCGUAAAGAGCUCGUAGGCGGUUUGUCGCGUCUGCUGUGAAAACCCGAGGCUCAACCUCGGGCCUGCAGUGGGUACGGGCAGACUAGAGUGCGGUAGGGGAGAUUGGAAUUCCUGGUGUAGCGGUGAAAUGCGUAGAUAUCGAGAGGAACACCUGCGGCGAAGGCGGGUUGCUGGGCUGACACUGACGCUGAGGCGCGAAAGCCAGGGGAGCGAACGGG
rnacentral:rRNA from 1 species